AAUGCUCAUGGGAGAGCCGUCUUUUCCUCCUUCCCCUUCUUCUCCCUCUUCUCCUUCUUUCUCUCUGAUCUUCUCCCUUGCGCCACCAGCGAGCAACAGCUGGGCUACACCAGCCGCUACACGGCCCACAGAACACCACCAUCAGCACCCCACCUUCCCUCCUCACUCGCAGUGAACAGCCGGCAGCCAACUCACGAGCAACCGCCAGCUGCUGGCCGAUUUUUAGGCCUAUUUCCAGCCGGUUCUGGGCUUUGGCACCACCUCCACGAGGUGCCCAUUUUGUAAAAGGAAAGUAGAGCCUUAGUUGGGUGAUUUUGUGACUUUUGAUCGUGCAGUAACGCUUACAGGUACGUAUACGCAGUAACUAACCCUUAUAUGCAAUUUGCUUUAAGACAUUAUUGUUUAUUGUGAUAAUAUACAUUGCAUGGAAACUAUGAGAUACUUUUGAGUACGCUUUACAUGAAGAGCUAUCGACUAUGAAAUCCUUGCGCUUAGAAUAGUUUAGAGAAUGAGAGUUAAUACAGGGCGAGAACUACCCCUUAUUUAAGAAUUAGAUUAUGCCUAAUUGGAGUUAGAAUGACUCCUUUAUAGGUGAAUUUCAUAUUCUAUUGAGUGGCUCAGUGGGUUUUGGUGCGCUGCUAUCCCAGGGCGCUCAUUAAUAAUUGAGAGUGGAAGUUAUUCCCAUCUGAUAAGGUACUAGAUUAUGAUUAGCUGGCGUGACUUAACUGGAUUAUGUCCGGUUGUUUUAUUAGUCCCCUAGGUGAGGUUCGACGGGACCACCGUAAGGGGGGUAUGAGCAUGCUUGGGUCAUUGGGCGCCGGGAGGCCGAUAACGCCCCUUGACCGAGGUGUUACCAUGCGGGCCUUGCAAACCCCAAUAUGGUGGCCUCUUCACUGGUUUAGUACCCCAGUGUGUUAGUUUUUUCCGAAGGUAGGACCCGAGAGGGUCAGUUGGAGGGGGGCUUGAGCUCAUACUUUGCCAAUGGGCGCCGGGAGGUUGAUAACGCCCUUGGGCGUGUCACUAUGCCAGGAAGUAGAAAAAAAGAUCCACUGAUAAAAAACUAUUCAGUGAUAGAAAGUUUAUUCAUUAAUCGAAAGUUAUUUAAUGAUAGAAGGUUCAUCCUUUGGUAGAAAGCUUACGCGUUGAUAGAACGUUUACUCUUUGAUAGAAUAUUUACUCUUUGAUAGAACAUCUACUUAUUGAUAGAAUAGUUUAUACUAGUGAGAAGUGUGCCUAAAUUAAGUUAUCUCAAGGGUAUUACAGACUAUGAUCACACUUACCAAAAGAUAGACAAGCUCUAUAAGGUCAUGUGUUAGGCAUUCUGUUAAUGCAUUGGUCGAGUAGAGCUAUACGUGGUUUGCAAGAGUUUAUGUUUGAAAAAGAGGAGCGUGAAGACCUGCAUUCUACUCAAGAACACAUGGUUCGAGUUGGAAAGCACGUAAUGAAAUUAAGAAGUAUAAGUGGCCGAUAAACGGUUACUAUUCGUGCUCGCGUCUUAUGAAAGCAUCUUAUGUUGUUUUAUAAUAUAAUGUUAUCUAGUAGGUGGUCUUAUUAUUUUGAUGCUAGUUACUGACGUGUACGUGUUUGUGUUUAUGUUUGAUUAUUGAUGACUUUCUAUCGCUGUCCUGCUAUGACACAUUGGCCUUUGGUCGAAUGUCGAGCAGCAGGAGGAUCACAGACAGGCGUAACAGGAGCAAUGUCAGCAUCUAUGGCGGUGUUCAAUUCCUUCCCCCUUUUCAGCCCUAUUUCUUACCAGCAAGGUGUUUCACAUCAUUUAAAUGGAAGAAGCAGCAUUAUCACUCAUAAAGUCGGAUUUUCAGUUUCAAAUGCUAGACCGAAUUUCUCUUGCUCUGUAAGCAUGGCAGACGGACAGUCUAAUAAUAAUGGAAAAUUAAAGCUGAAUCAGAUAAUGGACAAAGCCAGAGAAAUUUGGAAUGGCCUUCCGGAACCAGUCAAGAGCUUUCCUUGGAACAGAGUGCUUGAUAAUUUCAUCCAACUUAUUCUUGACGUUGUAGUUGCAGUCAUCAAAUUCCUUAGUGUGCCUAUUCUAGCGAUUUCCUCCCUCAGCGAAAUGUCCUACUGUGCACGUGAAAGGAAACUAUUUUUUGUUCCUGUUCCAUUUGCUCUUGGGUUUUCUGUUGCUGGAAUUUUGAAAGAUACAGCACAGGAAUUUUCUCCUCUUCUAAAGGAUGCUGAAGUUCCGUGGCAUUUGAUUUUAAUUGCGGUUUUCCUUGCUCUUCUCAAGUUACUUGGACCAUAUUAUCCAUAUUGGGGCCGGAUUUUUAUUCCUCAUUUUGCAAAUGGAGGGCUCUUAAGGGUUAUAGUUAUGAUGUAUUUCUGGUACCAAAAGCCAAAAAAGAGUCAAUUAUUGCAGAAUGUCAAGAGCUCAGAGCAAAAUUGAGUUUACUACACAAUAGGUUUGUUGUUUAUAUAUAGCAUGUUUCUUACCGCGCGCCUCAGGCCCUCGCCCAUUCUCGUCAUAGUAUAGAACGAAAAAUCGAGAGGAAAAAACAAACACUAUGAAAUGCUGUUUUGGUGGUUAAAUCCCUCCUUUUCUUGUCGAAGAUGAUGUGGAACAGUGGAAUCGACUGUAACUUCCUGCAAUUUGGAAUCUCCCCAACUCUAUAAAAAAGUGAAAAGCUUGCAACCGAACAUACGUUGAUCAAGAUCAAUUUUUAAGUGAAUGUUAAUGUAGUUGUUCGAUUGCCAUGGAAAUUAUGAACAUAAUCUUGCUUGUCGUGGUGCUCUAGAACGCAGGUGACAGGACGAUGGACAGCCAGUCGCUAAAUAGAGGUUGCGUUUUGGAAUUCUUCCUCCAGACUACAUUCAAGUCUCCUGUAUCAGUUACUUCUCUUUUCUUUGGUUUUGAGGAUGCAUUUUUGUAGAUGAAGUACAAGAGAAUAUGUUUAUGUUAUGUAAGACAUCCAAGAGAAAGAACAAUGACAGAUUCAAACCAUGUUUGGAAUUUUUACUUCACCAUUA